AUAAAGGCUGGGAACGAGACUAGUAGACUUCCAGCGAAGCUCAGAGAGCCGGGAGAAGGUGUGAGCCGGUGCUAGCGCAGAGGUCGAAUGGACUCGGGAGUCGCAAACCGAAAGGGAGUUCCCCAAGUAGGCUUUGACGGAGUGGGCACCGUUAUUAGAGCCCAGGGUAUCGCCUCAGAAUACUGAGGCCGUACCUGAGUGAGAUGAUUGCCUGAAUUAAUCGGCAGUCAAUUAGGGUGGUACCGCGAAUGAAAACCUCUCGCCCCUAUG
rnacentral:ncRNA from 1 species